rnacentral:misc_RNA from 1 species
UCUACUCCACCGAUUACGAAUGCUUCGUACCCGAGACCUGGCAAUGGAAGAAGCCAGAAGAAAAGUAGAGAUUAAAGAGAGAGCUAGCAAUACAAUAAUGAAGAUGAUUAUUUUUUACACAAAAAGAGACAGAUAUUUAUUAUAGUUUUAUGAAGAGAAGAGAGCACAGGGUUAACGUGUUAAUAUUGUGUGUGUUUUCUGUCCACCGGGGUUUGUUAAUUUUCGGAAUUGUUAGUUUUUCCAUAUUAUUGUUUAUCCGCGUAAUUUUUCACUUUGUUUUCCCUACAAAACAUGUUCUGUGAAGCUUAAUCAUCAUUACAGAUGAUCGCUAUGUUUACUACUAGUAAUUGUUUGCUUUAUAACUGAUUUUUUUUUUACGGUCACUGUUGUUGCUUUCAUCUUAUUCCACUUGUCAAAUCAAAUAAAACUUUUUUAUUGUUUGUCUUUUUGAUAAGGUUUAAUGUAUUUUUACUUACUGUACAUGUAAGUAAAUGUUGACAUUGAAUGAGGAAGAGUCUAGGGUACUUCAAGUUAUGGUAGUCUUUGACUUGGGGGAUUUCAAUCCGUGGUCAGUACAAAUAUUGUUUGCUAUCAUAAUGAUACUAGUAUUGUCAGGUGUCCCUUACAGAAUCUGUAGUAGUCAUUAUUUGUUCAGAAAACUGUGGCAGCAUUAUAUUUUGAACAUUCAUGUCUUUAAGCCUCUUUAAAGAGUGUAGUUGAUUAACAAUAAUAUUUACUUGGUGGGAGAAGUCUUGUGUCUUGAAUUAAAAAUGAAACU